rnacentral:rRNA from 1 species
AUGAACGCUGGCGGCGUGCCUAAUACAUGCAAGUCGAGCGAACGGACGAGAAGCUUGCUUCUCUGAUGUUAGCGGCGGACGGGUUAGUAACACGUGGAUAACCUACCUAUAAGACUGUGAUAACUUCGGGAAACCGGAGCUAAUACCGGAUAAUAUUUUGAACCGCAUGGUUCAAAAGUGAAAGACGGUCUUGCUGUCACUUAUAGAUGUAUCCGCGCUGCAUUAGCUAGUUGGUAAGGUAACGGCUUACCAAGGCAACGAUGCAUAGCCGACCUGAGAGGGUGAUCGGCCACACUGGAACUGAGACACGGUCCAGACUCCUACGGGAGGCAGCAGUAGGGAAUCUUCCGCAAUGGGCGAAAGCCUGACGGAGCAACGCCGCGUGAGUGAUGAAGGUCUUCGGAUCGUAAAACUCUGUUAUUAGGGAAGAACAUAUGUGUAAGUAACUGUGCACAUCUUGACGGUACCUAAUCAGAAAGCCACGGCUAAAUACGUG